rnacentral:lncRNA from 1 species
UAAUAUUGUAAGUACGGGUUUGCACAUAGAAGCUGAUCAUGUGUCAGGAUCUUUGGCCCAAAUCUGAAAUGCUAAAGGCACUCACUUCUGGAAGAUGCUGAAACUUUAUUGAAUUAUGUUUUUACAAGCUUCUUUAUGAUUAUCUUUUAGGUAUUUUCUGAUCUAAUGUUGAAAAGCUAUUUAGUGUAACUGCAGUUAAGUGAUUUCAUCUCAAAUGUUUAUUUUGCUAUGCACAUCUCUUCCCCCUUUUCUUUUUUUAAUGUGAAGUGCUACAGCUUUACUUUAAGUUUAUAUGGAAAGCAACUAUACUUUAAGAAGUAUGCAGGAGGAUUUCCCAUGUCUGUAAACAUACUGGGUAGUUGAGCAUUUGCUGAAAUGAGCUGCCAAUUGUUUUCUGUCUUGUAAUACUCCUUUGUAGAUCUGCUGGUAUCUGGCUUGUCCCUGCUGCAUCUAUACAAUGCGUUCCUUCAUGUUUUGUGUAACAUCUUCCUCAGUCAUUUCUGUGUAUGUAAAUACAGAAACUGGAAAGAGAAAACUCUGUUUGUGAAUUGUCCCUCUUCCUGCCCUCACUUCUCCACCCCUCCAGCGUAGCUGGAAGGUUGGUCAUGAGCAGGAAGUGAGAACAAUAUUGAUCACUGGUAUCCAGGAAUUCUGAGGGGAAAGGGGGCAAAAAUGAGCACUGGAAAACAAUCUACGUGUUCUGACAACACAUUUAUGCUUUGAGACCCUUAGAAUGGGAGUGCUGUCGGUAGAAAAAGUAAAUGAAGACCUCGAGGUGUUGGUUGCAGAAGUAUCGAAGCUAACUGCCAUUGUAAGAGGCUUGGGUGUUGGUUUUGUGCCUUCUGUUACUUGUUCAGUUAUUUAAAUCACUCCUAAUAGUGGUUAGUGAGGUGCAAGCAGAGUGAAGCCUAAACCCAGAAGGGUUUUUGUGUAUUAUUUACCUUUAUUUUAGCUUGUCAAACUCAAAGCAGAGUUACAUUAAAACAAAGUAUCUUUCAGUGGUGACUUCUGUGACUGUAUAACUCCUGCCACAUGAGUGAUUACUGUUCAUUUCUGCACUUACUAUUUGCAAGUGCUGCAUGUUUGUGUCACAACGCUGUUUUCUAACACUGUUUCAAGUAAGAGAAGAACGUAAAAAAAGGUAAUUUAAAGUGAUGUAUUUAAUGGGAAGUAGUUCUAAGUUGCUCAACUGAGAAGAGAUGAGUACUGGCAUGUCUCAAAACUUGUUUUGUUCCCCAGGAGUUAAGCAUAGAGUGUUAUCUCCCUUUUAUUUGCACAGUAUCUCGCAUACCAGCAGAGCCUGGAAAUUCAUAAUGUUUAGCAAAAUGAGGAAAGAAAUCAAGAGUCACACAUUUUUGCUGUUGGCAGUGGUAGCCUGAUCAACAUUUACCCGUCAGCCUGCCACCUCCCGUAACUUAGACACUAGUUUUUAAAACCACUUUCUGCAGCCGUUAGUCCUCAGUUUCUGGUUGCCAAAUAUGUGUUUUCUUUUUUCUUCUUGCGCAAGCUUGUUGUUACUGCUGUGCUUAUAAGAGAGGGCUUAGCUGAGUUUUGGAGGUGUAUUUAGCAGCAGAUGUACUGCAUAUUGUCCUUUUUCUUGUGACAGUCCUUAAGAGUAUUUAAGUGUGUUAUUCAGCAUUUGAUGGGUGACCAAGCUAUUCUUUGUUUAUUUUCUGAAGCAUUGAACGUUUUGUUACAAAUGUAGGCUGAUAUUAUUACAGAUAAGUGAUUUUGUUCAUGGCUUUGAUGCUUAGUGUUGCUGUGAGAAAGAUCCCUGUGCAGGGUUCAACAAAUAAUUGUGGAGAGCAGCGGUUCCACUUUCUGUGCACGUGCUACCUAUUUUGUAAAUAAGCAUUGUAUGGCUGUUGGUCUUCCUUUUAAAAGCUAUCCUGUGCAUGGCUGACUUCAAAACUCUUAUAAAAGCUUAGGAAUUAAGUCAGUGUUGUAAACUAGAAACGUGAGGUAGACUUUCAGAAUUAUUUGGAAGAGGAAAAUACGUGUAUAUGAACUGAAGGAAUCUGAGUCAAAUAAGCAGGCUGUGCAGCUUUCCUGAGGUUUGUGAAAAAUCAAAAUGCAGUAACUUGUUAGACCUGUGUGAGGAGGAAUAGAGAACAUAUAUUUCUAGCCUGUCAUAGAACGGUGUGGAUUAACACAGAAGCAAGAAAAGAGCCUCAGAUGUUCUUGCAAAACUGUGACAAAACACCUUUGCAAAACGUGAUGACCUCAGUUGUACUGUGGUAGAAUAAAACAAAAUCAGAGGUUGGAAAAAAAUGGCAACUCGUGGUAUAAAGAGGUUAAGAAAUUGAAGUAUUAAUAUUCAAGUAAAAUACAUUUAAUAAGUAGGAAAUGAAGUGAAACAGUGUACUCUGAAGCUUAUCAAAGAGUUUACAGGAAGGUUCCUGAAGAUCUGGAGAUCUCCUGAAGGAUCCUGGAGAUCCUGAAGAUCUGGAGAAUUCAACUGAAAAUAGAAAAUCCGUUCUUUUUACCUGAGCCUGUAUCUGUGUAUUUAGGAAUAAACACAGUUUUUGUUUCGUAUUUUUACAACAGCUGUUUGGGUAACCUAAAGCACACAGACCGCGAUGCUGGUAUUUACGAGGCCUGCACUCCAAGGCUGUGAGUGCAACUGGAGCUAAAGGAGCCUUGCUGUUCUGCUGGGGCUUUAUGAAAACUUCAGGAGCAUUUGACAAGUUUUACUCUAUUCAGUGGGAGGAAAAAAGGAAAUGUACUUGUAGUUUUUAAGCUUUACAGAAUGAUUAGGUUUUAAUUUAGCAAAACUAUCCUAGACAAACAUAGUGUAUUUCUUUCUUAUAGUCAAAAUAAGAAGCGCCUAUGGUAGAAAGAGUACUGUGCAAAACUUGCUCUAGUGGAUGUGAGAGCUUUUGAGUCUGACAGUUUAAGUAGCGAAGACGAAAGUGAGGACAGUUCUUGGGCAGGGGACUUGAAGAGGAAUGUGAUUCAUGGGGCAUAGUGACUGGCGUAAUUACCAGUGCAGCUGCUGUAGUAAUUUCUGCCAGUGCUAAAAAAGCCUGUCAUGGCCUGUACUCUGCUGGUCAGAGUGUAAGUGAUAACGAUGGCAGCAGCAGUGCCAACUCCAGGCUGCUGUAUGCGAUUGGAGCAGUUUCUGCUAGGUUUCAAAUUGAUAUAAAACCUUCACAGGAUUUCCUGAAGUGUUCAGGCUGAGGAAAAACUUUGGAAUUGGGAGUGGCAAGGUUUUGUUAUGUGUUUUCUGUGAGGAAUAGUAAGAGUAGUGAUACAGAGGGAUUUAAAUAAUCUGAUAAUGAGUAAAACCUGUCAAAUUCAGGCAAGGAAAACCAAGGACUUGAGCACCUUCAAUUUUAACAUUAUCAGCACAAAAGGUUUGUAAGAAAUCCAUUUGCUUCAGUAUUCUAUUAAAUAAGGUUUUAAACUUUUUGUUCUGAUAGAGCUUUCUGUCAUUCUGUAUUUUUUUAAUCACGUUCUGUAAUCUGAAACAUCUGACUUGUGGUUCAGUGUUUGUUUCCAUUUAAGCCAAGUGACACAUUUCAGAGUUGAUCCAGCAUGGAAUUUGGAGGAAGGAGCUCUUGAAGCACUGGGACAGAAGAGUGGGAAGAAACGUUCUGCUGGACCCAGGCUUCUUUCUCAUGUAAAUGGCUUGACCUAGCGAGGAAAAGCUUUUGCUGAAGAGUGAGGGGAAUUUUGAAAUACUAACCACAAAAUGUUAUUUUCUGUCACUAAUGUGCAUCAUCAAAACUCACUUCUCUAGCACUCAACAAACGUAAUUUGCAUUUAAAAUUGAAGUGGAUUGCCAAAAGUCUUACAUCAGUCUCACAUCAAAGACAGCAGAAUUUCCUAGAAUUCAGGGACUCUGAUACUUACUGUCAGAGCAAUCUGUUUAACUGCCUAGCCCCAACAUCUGCAUUAGCAGCUCAUUGCAUUUCACCUGUGCAGUAGAAAUAAUAAUUUUGUCCUAUUUGAGAGAAGGCUUAGCUUCCUUCCUAGAUGUUCUAAGUGUAAACUGUAAAUACAUAUGCAGUGUUCCUAAUUUCUUUCAGUCUUCCUUAUCCUCUUCAAAGAGUUUCCAGAUCUUGCUCUUUUUCAACCUUUUAUUUACCUUUGAUUUCAUUUCUGCCAUUUCCAUCUCCUGUUCUUAAUAACGUGCCUCCCUCAGAUUGUUGCUGAAGAAUGCCAAACAGUGUUUGUGGCUCGAUUCAAGAAAGAGAUUAAGGAGGAGAUCACAAUUUCCUGCAUCCAAAGUGGUUCAAAAUGUCAUUGAGGGAGAGAGAAAUCUGACCAAUGGAUUGAUAACUGAGUAAUACCUGUGAGAUGUACAAAGCAGGAGGAAGAACUGAGUCUGUUUUAAAGAUGAGUAAAUUGAGAUGAGGUGCAGGUGGAGUUUGUGAUCAGCAAAAGCAGGAGUGUUACAAGCAGUAUGCACUCUGUGUCAUCUGUAGAUGUAAUUCAACUGUUUCAAGUCUGCUAAAACAGUGGUAGCUACAUGGGUGAGGCAGGACUUGGGCAGGUAACAUGCAGUUUUACUUCAGUUGCUGCUGGGGUGAGAGUCCCUACCUCCUUCCCCAUGGGAAGGUACCCUAACCCAGGAACACUUCAUGCAGCACUGAAAUGGAGGCCUUCACAGAAAGAUAAACCUCAGUAUGCUUCUCCAGUGAAAUAUAUUACACAUUUGUUAGUUUUUGGGUAACAGCCAAAUCAUUCCUUGUCCCUCCCCACACACGCUUCCAUUUAUAAAUGAAGUCUUCAGUCUUUUGAAUGUCAUACAAAACUGUUCAAAACCAGACUUGAGCAAUUGAAAUUCAAUUAGUUCAAUCAGAGUGAUUCAAUUGACACAGCUGAGUUCUGCAAUCUGAACAAAAGAUUUUGCUGUAAUUGUGCAGGAAUAUAUAAAUGCUGAUAUGAUUGUCUUGUCCUCAGCCCUCCAGAAGGAUGUAUUGCAUUUUAAAACUUACUGGCAUACACCCCAUUUUCUACUUGAUGCUUCUGUGGUGCCUCGGCCCCUCAUAAAAUUGGAGGUGAACAAAAUCCAGUGAAAUACAAGGAAGUGUGUUUCCUGUGGGCAAGCCUGCUGAAUGUUAGGCAUUCACAUGUAAUGUAUUGCUAAAUUUGGUGAAUCCGUUUGGACAUCCAUUCCGUCUUGAGACAGAUGAUCUUGUAAUAGCCAUUUGCAGAUGAUAUUUCUGAUGAAUCAUUUGAGGUUGUGAUUCACAGCUUGACUGUAGUGAUGUUCAAAUCAAAAAAAUGUGC